CGGUGAUGUUCCUGGAGGGAGAGAGGAGACUGCCGUGUCCUGGCGCUGACCAGCCACACGGGGGCAUCUUCGCCUGGGGCAUGUGGGAGUCCGUCCCACUCCCUCUGCUCGCCUGGUCCUCACCCUCCGGCUCCGUCUUCCUCCGGGUCCCCAGCGCAGCUCCGGAACUCAAAGCCAAGGCAGGCAGCAUAGGGUGGGGUGUGCCCGUCAUAGAGGCCCAGGGCCCCGUACAAGGCCAGAAGGGUGCUGUCGUGCUAGGGGCAGACACAAGCAGACGGUUCCUCUCCUGACGUCCCCCAGACCCUGAGAGCCAAAGCUCCUGCUCCCCCUCGCCUGGAGGCAGUUACCCAGAGCCACUGCAUAGGUGCUGGGUUAAACACCUAUGCUUCCAGAGGAGCUAAGUGCUUUCCUCAUGCUCUCACCUCCCUGCUUCCAGCGUUGAUCUCUAGUGAGAGGGUCCAAGCAGGGCUUUAGAGAUCAGGGUCACGCAAGGCAGUGGGCUGGGGCCACUGACUGGCACCCAAAUUGCCAUCACCCCGCCCCCUGUGCAUGCGGGACCCACCUCUUUCCCAACGACUCACAGCAGAGUACAUGACCAUCUUGAGGGGCAGCCCCAGGCUCUGGACCCGUGAGAAGUUGGCAAGGAUGGCAUCCAGCAGAAUCCCUGAGAGGAUGGGAGCAGAGGCUCAGGACCCCCUGGAGGAAGGGUCUCGCUAUGCUGUCCAGGCUGGCCUCAAAAACUCAGCGAUCCUCCUGCCUCAGCCUCCUGAGUGCUGGGAUCACAGGCGUGUGCCACCACGCCCAGCUCCAUUAGAUGCUGCACUUGCUGCUUCCUGCUGUCAUGUGGUCAUGGACGCCACCUCAGUUCACAUGAGGCACAAACACGUCUGCUCAUACAAGUACUCCUUUACC
rnacentral:lncRNA from 1 species